rnacentral:lncRNA from 1 species
AUGGGGAGUGAGAAGCUUCUGGAAGGCGGAACCCUGAGCUGGGGAGGGGAGGACGGAUGUGGGGGCACAGGCGAGGGUGUUGAGGUUAGCCUGGAGGUGGCCUGCUGCGUGGGCCUCACGGGUGGCAGAGGGGGAGGCUGGGGGUGCUGGGGUCAGAGGGGGCCUGAGCCAGGAGGAGGAGGCCUGUCCACCCACAGUGCAGUGUGUGGUCGGGAGCUGAGGGCCCGGUGUGCGCGGAGACCUGGUGCCGGGGCGGGGAGGGUGAAGCGGCCCCGGACCGUUCGGGGCUCCACCCCUCCCCCAGGCUGCCCUGCUGGCCAGCACCCCCACCCUGCACUUUUCCUGGGUCCUCUGACUCUGUCUCUCCCCUCCCCAUGGUCCAGGGCCCACCCGAUUUCUCACCGGGGUGCUGACCGUGAUCCAGGGAAAUGCCCAGGAGACCCCGCCAGCAGAGCCCAAGGGCAUUGCUGUGACCGGCAGGAACUGGCCCCACACCCCUGUGGCCUCCUCGCCCAACCGGCUCCCCGGCUCAUCUUGGCGGCUCCAGACUCUGAGAGGCCUCGCAGACAGAGCUGGCCAUUCUUGGACACCCUCGUGCCAACUCCGAGGGCACGUCAGCUCCUCCGCUCUCUGGCUCGGGUGCGGUGCCAGCUGGGCCCAGCUUGCGGGGGGCACUGGCUCUUCCCCAGGCCCACACCACUGGCCUGCCGUCCACCCUGCCAAGGAGGCCAUGGCUUCAAGCAGAGCAGAGGGCGGGGGCCGGGAUGGAAGGCCACCCCUGCCUUGACCUCUAGUGCGAAGGCCGCCCUGAACUCCGUCUUGUGAAAGGGAGUUCCUUUGACCCAUGUCUUCUGUGGACCGUUCAGGUGGCCUGCCAGUGCAGGAGAUGUAAGAGACCUGGUUCCAUCCCUGGGUCGGAAGAUCCCCUGGAGGAGGGCAUGGCAACCCCCUCCAGUGUUUUUGCCUGGAGCAUCCCAGGGAUGGAGGAGCUACAGUCUGUGGGGUUGCAGAGUCAGACACGCCUGAAGCGGCUCGGCACGCAGGCAGCACGCGCCUCCUCUGGCCACGCGAAUCCCCAGGGCACUGCA